ensembl:lincRNA Gm9934 predicted gene 9934
AACGGCCUCCGCCCCUUUCUCCAGGUCACCCAGACUCACGCCCUGGCCCGAUGGGACGCCGCUGGCGCCGCCGCAGCCUACCCGGGAUGGUUCAGUGAAGAAGGACGGGGGCAGGUUUCGGGCACGCAGCGGGACCUUCCUGGUGCCGAGAGCCACUGAGCUCACCGCGGUGCCCGCCCCGUCUCCCGCAGCGCUUGCUGCUCCGAGGCUGGGGACUGACACCGCCUCCGCACCGCCAGCCAUCUCUGCACCCCCGGGAAUGUGGCGCAAAGAGUCGAAAAGAGCAGCCAGGCUCCGGCUCUGCAGGCUGGCGGCAGCUGCAGCCUGGGUCGCCUCCCUCCGCGGGGCGGCCUUACAGUGCGCUGGGGUCGCGACGGUCGGGGCUCCCGGCGGCCGUUUGGCUGGAGCAUCUGCGGCGCUCGGGGACGCCGGUCUCGGAGGUGCAGUCCCCAUGAGACCACUGCAGCGCUUGAUUUGCUUCUGCAAGUACUUGCGGUGGUUAACUUUCCGCUUGGACUUGCCUGGCUUGUCCAGCGCCAGCUUGAUGUUGCUAGACGCGGAGUCUAUGAAGCUGAGCAGGUCGCGGGUGGCCUCGCGCACGUCCCCGCCCUCGGACCCCGACAGCAGCGCUCCCGCGGACGACCCGCUCUCAUCAUCUUCGAAACAGCAGCCCUUGUCCAAACUUCCGAAGGCGCUCACCAGCCCGUCCGCGGAGCCUCCGAAACCGAAGGGUAUGAAGGGGUGCGAGCUGAGCAGCGCAGCCUGCACCGCCAUCGCCGCGGCUCCCGGGCCGUCCGCAGCGCGGCCCGUGCUCACUCGGCCCGCUCCAGCCCAGGCGAGGCGCUGUCUGCUCGCUCCGACCUAGGCUCUCGGCUCAGCCUCCCGGGGGAGCUCAUUAGAUCUUGUUGCUCCAUAGAGUGGAUCUUCUGCUGCAGUCUCAAGCAGAGGGUGCCAAGAUAGAGGGGAAGGCUUUGAUUUCUCAAUAAUGAUUCUCCUUCUGCCUGGAAAAGAGGGACUUUAAACAAGCCCUUCUGAGUGGAAUCCUCUGUCACUCAGUCUUUAUUCAAAUUCUUGGGGACACUAGACUCCAGUUGCGUUGAUGUGGAGUGGCAUCUGUCAGAACAAAGCACAAGUCUGCUGUGAGAUCACAGAGGCUUGCAGCAAAAUGUAAGAAUGCAAGAUGGAAACACCCAGUGCCGAGGUAAGGUCUGGCCAAGGGAGCAGCCCAACAGCUCAAUAUCCGGCGCACCAGACGGAAAUGCUUAAAGACCUCCAUCCUAUUAUACGAGGUUGAAUUCAUUCAAUUAAAGAGCUUAAGCAGCACUGAUCAGCCACUGGAACACAUCUCUGCAGAACACUAAAACAAUGGCUUGAGGAUUUGAGGUUUAUUUUCUCUUGUGGGAGGCCAGCUGGAGUUACCCAGUACACAGCCACACUGGGGAGGGCGGGCACUGCAUAAUUGUAUUAAGCCUGCCUGUUCUUUGAGGAGAAUGCUUCCUGACUACAUCAAGAGAGGAAAUGAGUUGGGGGGGGGGGCACUUUAAAGUCUUAGGACACUACACUUAGGUUUUAAGCCCUCUUGCCUAACCCUUAAAAUCACUUCUGAGAGGAGAAUCUGAGUGUAGACUCCCCGGUCAGUGGCUAAUUUUGCUGUACUGCCAUUGAUCUUUCUUCAUGAUUAUUAAAUUGUCUUUCAUGGAGCAAGCAUAACAUU